rnacentral:lncRNA from 1 species
AUACAUUUUGUAAUUUAUAGACAAAACAAUAACACAACAAAUUUUGAAACAUUUUUUUAACCUAUCGAUUUCUUUUCAUGAGAAUCCAACUAAACAAGAUAAAAAGCAAUUAGAUUUAUUUAGUUACCAUUUUAUACAAUUUUGAUUAAUUUCAAAUUGUAAUAAUGUAUCUUUUUGAAGUUACAAAAAAAUAAUGUUCUUUCUUUAUUACACUAGCAUUAUAUAUGGAUUCCAUAUACACAAAUAAAUAUAAUAUAACAACAUAAGCUUGCUUUCCCCGAUUCAUAUGAAAACUUUUUAAGUUAUCCACCAAAGCAAAUUAAUUAAAUAAAUCAAAUUGUUAGAAUACAACAAAUUAAUAUAUAAUUUUAUUUUAAAUUAUUUAAAAAGUGU